rnacentral:rRNA from 1 species
GCUUAAAGAGGGGUUAAUGUCCUAUCAGCUAGUUGGUGGGGUAAUGGCCUACCAAGGCAAAGACGGGUAGCCGGCUUGAGAGGGUGGUCGGCCACACUGGGACUGAGACACUGCCCAGACUCCUACGGGAGGCUGCAGUCGAGAAUCUUUCGCAAUGCCCGAAAGGGUGACGAAGCGACGCCGCGUGUGGGAAGAAGGCCUUCGGGUUGUAAACCACUGUCGGGAGUUAGGAAAUGCAAGAGCGUUAAUAGCGCACUUGCUUGACUAAGGCUCCAGAGGAAGCCACGGCUAACUCUGUGCCAGCAGCCGCGGUAAUACAGAGGCGGCAAGCGUUGUUCGGAAUUAUUGGGCGUAAAGAGCACGUAGGCGGCCUUGCAAGUCAGUUGUGAAAGCCUUCCGCUUAACGGAAGAACGGCAUCUGAUACUACAGGGCCUGAGUACGGGAGGG